GAGGGUGUAGCUCAGUGGUAGAGCGUGUGCUUAGCACGCGUGAGGUCCUGGGUUCAAUCCCCAGUACCUCUG
rnacentral:tRNA from 1 species